ensembl:ncRNA F54H5.12 ncRNA
GGCUAAUAUUUGUCACUCACCUGACUAAUUGUUUGGUUAGACCUACAACAUCCCGGCGGCGGGGCGGCGCGGCGUCCCCCCGUCCGUUUUGUUGAAAACCUAUUGAUAGAUACACUCACGCACAACAAUCCAGGUAAUUGUA